rnacentral:rRNA from 1 species
UAUUGGGCAAUGGGCGCAAGCCUGACCCAGCAACGCCGCGUGAAGGAAGAAGGCUUUCGGGUUGUAAACUUCUUUUCUUAGGGACGACGAAAGUGACGGUACCUAAGGAAUAAGCCACGGCUAACUACGUGCCAGCGGCCGCGGUAAUACGUAGCUGGCAAGCGUUGUCCGGAUUUACUGGGUGUAAAGGGCGUGCAGCCGGGCUGACAAGUCAGAUGUGAAAUGCACAGGCUUAACCUGUGAACUGCAUUUGAAACUGUCAGUCUUGAGUACCGGAGAGGUCAUCGGAAUUCCUUGUGUAGCGGUGAAAUGCGUAGAUAUAAGGAAGAACACCAGUGGCGAAGGCGGAUGACUGGACGGCAACUGACGGUGAGGCGCGAAAGCGUGGGGAGCAAACAGG